rnacentral:tRNA from 1 species
GCCGAAGUAGCUCAGCUGGUAGAGCGACGGUAUCGUAAACCGUAGGUAGUGGGUUCGAGUCCCACCUUCGGCU